rnacentral:misc_RNA from 1 species
GCAAACUUGGUCAUUUAGAGGAAGUAAAAGUCGUAACAAGGUUUCCGUAGGUGAACCUGCGGAAGGAUCAUUAAUGAAAUGCAAGUCGGCAGAUUGUGCUGGCGCCACAAGGCGCAUGUGCACGUCCGUCGCAAAUCCACACACCUGUGCACCUCAGACUUCGAGCGAGCGACCUGGUCGCACCUCGGGGUAUUUUUACACACACUGUAUGUAAAAGGAUGUUGCAGUGCUUUGGCACAAAAAAUGUACAACUUUCAACAACGGAUCUCUUGGCUCUCGCAUCGAUGAAGAACGCAGC